rnacentral:misc_RNA from 1 species
UCCGGCUUACACCGGCGGUCUCCUGUGAGUUCCCGACUUUACUCGCUGGUAACACAGGACGAGGGUUGCGCUCGUUGGCGGACUUAACCGUACACCUCACGGCACGAGCUGACGACAGCCAUGCAACAAGUGUCUUCAUGUCCCCUUGUGGGGGAGGGCCCUAUCUCUAGAGCUUUCAAUCGAUGUCAAACCUGGGUAAGGUUCUUCGGUUAGUAUCGAAUUAAUCCACAUGCUCCACCGCUUGUGCGGGUCCCCGUCAAUUCAUUUGAGUUUCAACCUUGCGGCCGUACUCCCCAGGCGGGAUACUUAAUGCGUUAGCUGCGGCACAAGAGGGGUCGCUCCCCCAGGCACCUAGUACCCAUCGUUUACGGCGUGGACUAC